rnacentral:sRNA from 1 species
UAGUUCAUUUAGUUCAACAAAAAUAGAAC